UGAAAACAUUGUGUCAAUAUGCUAUGUCUAUGUUCGCCUUAUUCACCCGGAACGUUCUAAAGACGUUGAGGGGUACACUUCAGGGGUACAUUCGGCAACGCACCAGCUGUCAUGCCGCCUCACUGUUGUGUGCCCAAAUGUUCGUCCUCAAAGAGAAAAAAAUCCUACCGUGGACAGACUUUCCACCGUUUCCCCAAAGAGCAGGCACUUCGCCGUGAAUGUAUAAAUCACAUCAAGAGGGAUCCUGGUCCAUAUUUCAAGAUCAACGCUGAGACCAAGGUUUGCUCUGAGCACUUUGAGAAGCAGUGUUUUGUAAAGACCGCCCGUGGUAUCACAAAGCUUAUAAGGAUGCCGUGCCAACUUUGUUCGCCUGGACUUCAGAGAGGUCAAAGAGGAGAAUCAUCAUUCGCAGACCGAGAGAUGAUGACCCAUUCCUGAAGUUGGACGCCAGAAUGCAGGAAGGUGCUGUUUAAGAGCCUAGGCGGUGGAAGAAGCACUUGCAGGUAUGCUACCGACCAGGCUCCUCAACAUCAAUCCGAGACGGAAGAUGAACCGGGAUGAAGCAGUUAGAUUGAGACAAGGCGGCCGGAAACUUUGAUGACCUCAAUGACACUGGCUAGGUGAAGGACAUCAAGAAAAUGGCAUCCGGUCACCAGACAUCAGCUCAUAAGCCACAACGUCAUCAACCAUUUUGCGCCAAAAAUGAAGCCGUUCACAUACCAUGGCAUCCUAAGCAGGCAGCACCACACUACUGUGCAACAGUGAGAGAGAGCGGGCAAGGACAAGUAAAACGGACCUACACUACAGCAAGACUUUGACACUUCUCCACGUGAGAGGCAGCCAUCGCCCCCACCGUUGAGCAGUGUGUACCCAGUACCCCCAAAAGAGGAGAUGAUCCGACGCCAUCACAGCCGAUUUCCAAAAUUGUACACCAAACUCUGUAUGGGCGUGUGUGUGUGUGUGUGUGUGUGUGUGUGUGUGUGUGUGUGAGAUAUUGUAAAACUUUUCAGUCCUUCUUCUAUACUAUACAGUGUAUAAAUAUACAUGUGAAAACCUAAAUAUGCAUUAAAAACCAUUACUGAGGUUAAGAAAUGCAUUAUAACAAAUACAUCUGAUUCAGGUGUACUGUACAUUGAAAUGUCUUUAUUUGCCACAAAUACAUCACA